rnacentral:rRNA from 1 species
UACGUAGGGGGCAAGCGUUGUCCGGAAUCAUUGGGCGUAAAGCGCGUGUAGGCGGUCCGGUAAGUCCGCUGUGAAAGUCGGGGGCUCAACCCUCGAAUGCCGGUGGAUACUGUCGGGCUAGAGUGCGGAAGAGGCGAGUGGAAUUCCUGGUGUAGCGGUGAAAUGCGCAGAUAUCAGGAGGAACACCAAUUGCGAAGGCAGCUCGCUGGGACGUAACUGACGCUGGAGACGCGAAAGCGUGGGGAGCAAACAGG